GCUGCCGGGAGACGGAGCCAAGAACCAUAAGCGUGGGCUUCAUGGGCGCUGGCCAGCUGGCCUGUGUGCUGGCUCGAGGCUGCACGGCCACAGGCAUCCUGUCAGCUCACAAAAUAAUGGCCAGCUGCCCGGAAAUGGACCUGCCCAUGGUGUCCACCCUCAGGAAGGUGGUGUGAAUCUGACUCCAAGCAAUAAGGAGACAGUGAGGCACAGUGACGUCCUUUUCCUGGCUAUGAAGCCACAUGUCCCCUUCAUCCUGGAUGAGACUGGGGCUGACAGGCAAGCCAGACACAUUGUGGUCUCCUGUGCGGCUGAUAUCACCAUCAGCUCUGUGGAAAAGAAGCUGAUGGUAUUCCAGUCAGCCCCCAAAGUGAUUCGCUGUAUUACCAACACGCUUGUGGUUGUGCGGGAGGGUGCCACAGUGUAUUCCAUGGGUACCUAUGCCCUGGUGGAGGAUGGGCAGCGUGGGCUUUUGCAGCAAGGUGGAGGAGGACCUGAUGGAUGCUAUCAUAGGGCUCAGUGGCAGCGGACCUCCCUAUGCGCUCGGGGCCCUGGAUGCGUUGGCUGAGAGUGGAGUGAACAUGGGCUUGCCAGGCGCCUGGCAGUCCGAUUAGGGGCCCAAGCCUUAUUGGGUGCUGCCAAGAUGCUGCUGGACUCAAAGCAGCAUCCAGGCCAGCUCAAGGGCAAUGUCUGCUCCCCUGGGAAGGGGGGGGGGGGCACCACCCAUGCCCUGCACUUUCUAGAGAGUGGGGGCUUCCACUCUCUGCUCAUCAAUGCAGUUGAGGCCUCCUGUAUCAGAACACAAGAGCUGCAGUCCGUGGCUGACCAAGAAAAGAUCUCCCCAGCUGCCCUUAAGAAGACCCUCCUGGACAGAGUAAAGCUAGAUUCUCCCACAGUUUCCACACUGCCCCUGCAACCCAGGGAAGCUUCUUACAAGAACCCCAGCCUGGGGAGGCAAGAAGAACUAA